rnacentral:rRNA from 1 species
ACGCACCGCGGUGCUUUGACUGGGUGAGGAAUACAUCGGAAUCUUGCCUUGUUGUGGGGAAUAACGUAGGGAAACUUACGCUAAUACCGCAUGAGACCGUAAGGUGAAAGUGGGGGAUCGCAAGACCUCACGCGACAAGAUGAGCCGAUGUCGGAUUAGCUAGUUGGUGGGGUAAUGGCCUACCAAGGCGACGAUCCGUAGCUGGUCUGAGAGGAUGAUCAGCCACACUGGGACUGAGACACGGCCCAGACUCCUACGGGAGGCAGCAGUGGGGAAUAUUGGACAAUGGGCGCAAGCCUGAUCCAGCCAUGCCGCGUGGGUGAAGAAGGCCUUCGGGUUGUAAAGCCCUUUUGUUGGGAGAGAAAUCCUGUCGGCUAAUACCCGGCGGGGAUGACGGUACCCAAAGAAUAAGCACCGGCUAACUUCGUGCCAGCAGCCGCGGUAAUACGAAGGGUGCAAGCGUUACUCGGAAUUACUGGGCGUAAAGCGUGCGUAGGCGGUUCGUUAAGUCUGUCGUGAAAGCCCUGGGCUCAACCUGGGAAUUGCGAUGGAUACUGGCGAGCUAGAGUACGGUAGAGGAUGGUGGAAUUCCCGGUGUAGCGGUGAAAUGCGUAGAGAUCGGGAGGAACACCCGUGGCGAAGGCGGCCAUCUGGACCAGUACUGACGCUGAGGCACGAAAGCGUGGGGGAGCAAACAGGAUUAGAUACCCUGGGUAGUCCACGCCCCUAAACUAUGCGAAACUGGAUGUUGGGGCACACCUUAGGUGCUCAGUGUCGAACCUAACGCCGUUAAAUUCGCCGCCUUGGGG